UUCGAUACUUUUUUUUACUGCUGGGUUCAAGAUUGCUAAUCUGUCAUGCCGCCUGGCGUCCUCUAUAUUUUUAGAACACUUUAUUCUCAUAACUUCAUAUUACUCAAGUUGAGUAUUAAAUUUUUGUUCUACAUAACUUUCCAGUGAAAGUCUUGCUGCCGCACUGUGAAGUGUGGCAUUGCAAUUAUUUUUGUCUAAUAAUGGUCAUACUUCCCUUUACUGGGACCUCAAUUAACGAAGGAAGUACAACUAAUUGCACCAGGUACAUCCGCACAACUUUCCAACACAACUGGCCUUCUGAAGACGACAUUGAUCGCCGCAGACGGACUGGCGCCUUGCGUCGCAGGACUGCUCGCAAAUAGCGUUUGUACACUUAUUUGGACGGUU
rnacentral:lncRNA from 1 species